UAUGGAGGGUGCAAGCGUUAUCCGGAUUCACUGGGUUUAAAGGGUGCGUAGGUGGGCAGGUAAGUCAGUGGUGAAAUCUCUGGGCUUAACCCAGAAACUGCCGUUGAUACUAUCUGUCUUGAAUAUAGUGGAGGUGAGCGGAAUAUGUCAUGUAGCGGUGAAAUGCUUAGAUAUGACAUAGAACACCCAUUGCGAAGGCAGCUCGCUACACUAUUAUUGACACUGAGGCACGAAAGCGUGGGGAUCAAACAGG
rnacentral:rRNA from 1 species